GCCUGGGUGGCUCAGUCGGUUGAGCGUCCGACUUCGGCUCAGGUCAUGAUCUCACGGUUUGUGAGUUCAAGCCCCGCGUCAGGCU
rfam:Felis catus isolate Cinnamon breed Abyssinian chromosome C2, whole genome shotgun sequence.